ACCCUCCUUGGGCAGGUGCACGUGUUUUUAUCUGAUUACGGGUUGGGAUGUCUGACGGGUGGAGCGGCCACAGGUGUGGGCAAUAACAAUCAGCCAUCUUUAAAAGCCAGUGGACGCCACCACCACCUCCUCGCCCGAUCAACUUGUCUGCGUACCUCUGUCAGUUGCAUCUUAACAUUUUGAUUCAUCCAUUUGAUUACUGUUUUUUUUUUUUUAUUGUUUGACUAUUUUUGCUCUUGCCUAAACGCUGAUUGUCGGAUUCCACGCCUGCCUCCUUCCGAAUCGCCUCUUCGUCCUGGCUAAACUACUCCAAGCCUGACGUCACCCACCUUCUGCCUUGGCUCUCACGUCAUCAACUAUCUCGUGUUCACCAAUAAAAUAUCAUUCAUCUCAACCGGCUGAUUGCUUGGGGAUCCACCCCCCUUUCUCAUGCACCUCUAACAUCCUUAAACAAGGUGGUUGUGGUCAACUCAGCUAAUCAGUGGUUUAAUCGACGGGAGAACUCUCAGGAGCGAAGUGUCCUUUCCCAAGGCCUUGCUUCUGAGGACCGCAUCGCUGUGGCCAGCUCUCAGCUUCCUGCUCCAC